GACCAGACUCCUACGGGAGGCAGCAGUGGGGAAUAUUGGGCAAUGGGCGAAAGCCUGACCCAGCAACGCCGCGUGAAGGAAGAAGGCUUUCGGGUUGUAAACUUCUUUUAUUCGGGACGAAACAAAUGACGGUACCGAAUGAAUAAGCCACGGCUAACUACGUGCCAGCAGCCGCGGUAAUACGUAUGGAGCAAGCGUUAUCCGGAUUUACUGGGUGUAAAGGGAGCGUAGGCGGCCUGCCAAGUCUGAUGUGAAAUACCGGGGCUCAACCCCGGGGCUGCAUUGGAAACUGGCAGGCUGGAGUGUCGGAGAGGCAGGCGGAAUUCCUAGUGUAGCGGUGAAAUGCGUAGAUAUCAGGAGGAACACCGGUGGCGAAGGCGGCCUGCUGGACUGCGACUGACGUUGAGGCCCGAAAGCGUGGGGAGCAAACAGGAUUAGAUACCCCCGUAAAA
rnacentral:rRNA from 1 species